rnacentral:rRNA from 1 species
AAUGGGCGCAAGCCUGACCCAGCCACGCCGCGUGAGUGACGAAGGCCUUCGGGUUGUAAAGCUCUGUGGGAGAGGACGAAAAGCUUGGUCGAAUAGGCCAGGUGUUGACGGUACUCUCUUAACAAGCACCGGCUAACUCUGUGCCAGCAGCCGCGGUAAUACAGAGGGUGCAAACGUUGCUCGGAAUUACUGGGCGUAAAGCGCGUGUAGGCUGAUUGGCAAGUCGGGUGUGAAAUCCCUGGGCUCAACCCAGGAACUGCAUCCGAAACUGCCAGUCUAGAGAACUGGAGAGGGAAGCGGAAUUCCUGGUGUAGAGGUGAAAUUCGUAGAUAUCAUGAGGAACAUCGGUGGCGAAGGCGGCUUCCUGGACAGUUUCUGACGCUGAGACGCGAAAGCGUGGGGAGCAAACAGGAUU